GACGAACGCUGGCGGCGUGCUUAACACAUGCAAGUCGAACGAUGAAGCUAGAGCUUGCUCUGGUGUAUUAAUGGCGAACGGGUGAGUAAGACGUGAGUAACCUGCCCCGAACUGUGGGAUGACUGCUGGAAAAGGUAGCUAAUACCGGAUAUGACCAAUGAAGGAAUCUGCUGUUGGUGGAAAGAAUUUCGGUUCGGGCUGGACGGGCGGCCUAUCAGCUUGUUGGUGAGGUAACGGCUCACAAAGGCGACGACGGGUAGCCUGCCUGAGAGGGUGGUCGGCCACACGGGGCCUGCGACACGGCCCAGACUCCUACGGGAGGCAGCAGUGGGGAAUAUUGCACAAUGGGCGCAAGCCUGAUGCAGCAACGCCGCGUGAGGGACGACGGCCUUCGGGUUGUAAACCUCUUUUAGUAGGGAAGAAGCGAAAGUGACGGUACCUGCAGAAAAAGCACCGGCUAACUACGUGCCAGCCGCCGCCGUAA
rnacentral:rRNA from 1 species